CACAUGAUGUAUGAGACCACAUUAUGAUGGGCGAGGUCAUAUGAUGAUGGGUAAGGCCACAUGAUGUGUAAGACCACAUGAUGAUGGUCGAGACCAUAUGAUGAUGUAUAAGACCACAAGAUGAUGGUCGAGACCAUAUGAUGAUGGGUGAGGUCAUAUGAUGAUGGGUGAGGCCAUAUGAUGAUGGGUGAGGUCACAUGAUGAUGUGUGAGACCACAUGAUGAUGGUCGAGACCAUAUGAUGAUGUGUAAGACCACAUGAUGAUGGUCGAGACCAUAUGAUGAUGGGUGAGGUCACAUGAUGAUGUGUGAGACCACAUGAUGAUGGUCGAGACCAUAUGAUGAUGUGUAAGACCACAUGAUGAUGGUCGAGACCAUAUGAUGAUGUGUAAGACCACAUGAUGAUGGUCGAGACCAUAUGAUGAUGUGUAAGACCACAUGAUGAUGGUCGAGACCAUAUGAUGAUGUGUGAGACCACAAGAUGAUGGUCGAGACCAUAUGAUGAUGGGUGAGGCGAUAUGAUGAUGGGUGAGGCCACAUGAUGAUGGGUGAGGUCAUAUGAUGAUGUGUGAGACCACAUGAUGAUGGGUGAGGUCAUAUGAUGAUGGGUGAGGCCAUAUGAUGAUGGUUGGGGCAAUAUGAUGAUGGGUGAGGUUAUAUGAUGAUGUGUGAGACCACAUGAUGAUGGGUGAGGCCAUAUGAUGAUGGUUGAGGCAAUAUGAUGAUCGGUGAGGCCAUAUGAUGAUGGGUGAGGUCAUAUGAUGAUGGGUAUCUGGGAUGAGUGUCACACGUUUUAUCCAUGUGGGGAAUCGAACACAGGCCACUGGGCGACUCAACCGCAGCAAUAAGAUUAGUAUGGCCCCUUGUUGUUAAAUAGUCGUGGCAGAGUCUGAUGUGCUGCCGAAGCCAUAGUAAGCAUAAAACACAUUGAGAUGAUGUCGCUGUCCAGCUUCCAUACGUAUAUGUGGUCCACGUCUUCACCUGAGAUUGUUUGUUAGUAUUGUGUUUAACGCCGCACUCCGCAAUAUUCCAGCUAUAUAGCGGCGGUUGUAAAUAGUCGAGUCUGGACCAGACAUUUCAAGGAUUGACACGGGUUAUUAUUCAGCUUGGCGUUGAUGUUUUUCAUGGCUACCUGUGAAGGACUUCUAACCAUAGCAGUUGAUUCUUGUAAAGCCAAUCGUUGAUAGUGCGGACAAAUGGCUGCUAAUCAUGGCUGGUAACAUUGCUUGCCAGCAACUCGGCCCAGCUUGUCAGGAUUCCGGGUAUUUCAGCUCAAGUCGUAUAAGGCAUUUUAUAUCUGUGGCCAAGAAUUAUCUAUGUGUCGACUUAAAUGUUUGGACUCAAAUGUUUAAGAAAUUCACCCAUCACAUUUUGAAUUUCAUUUAUGGCAUUUUAUUUAUGGCAUUCAAAACGUCAACACAUUGCUCAUACGUUGUUAUCUAAGUAGACCAUUGCAACACAAGAUUGUUGUAAACUACAUACGCCAUUGGAAACAUGCAGAAAGCAACGUGGGUAGUUUGUUGUGGAAUAAUCGCAAUCUGCAUUGGCUCUCCAUUGACGACCCUCGACACCACGACUACCUGCUAUUAUGGAAGCAAGGCCUUUGCCAUCGGGGAGACUUUCAUGAAGAGUACAUGUCAGCCCUGUGUCUGUGCCGAGGGCCGCUCGGUCAACUGUGUGUACAUCACCUGUUCGCCGACACAUUGUGUCAACCCGGUCUACCUGUCAUCCCAGUGUUGUCAGGAGUGCCCGGAUGGUCUAAACUGUCAACAUGGCGACAAGGUGCUGAAGUAGGGGGAGGUGUACACGGAGGGGGGUGUGACCUGUCGGUGUGAGUUCGUCCCCAAGCAGUACGGCCCCGCCUACCGAGCUGUCUGUAACACCACCCACACCUAAUGUAUAGCACGCAUUGGUGACAAUAAAGUAACGGAAGCCA